rnacentral:snRNA from 1 species
AAAAAUGUCUGAAUUUACAGAUA